rnacentral:rRNA from 1 species
UACGAACUGUGCGAACGUUAUUCGGAAUCACUGGGCUUACAGGGUGCGUAGGCGGCUAUUCAGGUCAGGUGUGAAAGCCCCCGGCUCAACCGGGGAACUGCGCUUGAAACCGAGUGGCUCGAGUCAGCUAGAGGUACACGGAACUUCCCAGUGGAGCGGUGAAAUGUGUUGAUAUUGGAAGGAACACCGGAGGCGAAAGCGGUCGUACUGGGGCUGGUCGUGACGCUGACGGCACGAAAGCCAGGGAGCGACGGGAGUAGAAACCCAGUAGACCCCAGUCGACACCGCUCCGUACUGACCGACAUGCCCACC